AACGAACGCUGGCGGCAUGCCUAACACAUGCAAGUCGAACGAAGGCUUCGGCCUUAGUGGCGCACGGGUGCGUAACGCGUGGGAAUCKGCCCUUAGGUUCGGAAUAACAGCUGGAAACGGCUGCUAAUACCGGAUGAUAUCGCGAGAUCAAAGAUUUAUCGCCUGAGGAUGAGCCCGCGUUGGAUUAGGUAGUUGGUGGGGUAAAGGCCUACCAAGCCGACGAUCCAUAGCUGGUCUGAGAGGAUGAUCAGCCACACUGGGACUGAGACACGGCCCAGACUCCUACGGGAGGCAGCAGUGGGGAAUAUUGGACAAUGGGCGAAAGCCUGAUCCAGCAAUGCCGCGUGAGUGAUGAAGGCCCUAGGGUUGUAAAGCUCUUUUACCCGGGAAGAUAAUGA
rnacentral:rRNA from 1 species